GACAGGAUAGACGAAGCAGGAACCAGGAACUUGUAGUUAGGUGUUUAUUAUAUACAGUGGACUAUUUACAGGAACAGAACACGGAUCUUUAGCUAGCUCUCUCUGACACGACUCACAACUCCUACACUGACACUGAACUCUGAACCUCUGAACUACUGAACUAACACAUCCCAGUUAGUAGGCCAUUAAUUAUCACUCCCUUGAGAGAGCUUGACCAAUCAGGGAGCUGUCUCCAUUGUCUCUGUUAUCACCAGGCAGACUUACUCCUUCACAUGACCUUCUGGCUGGCUGCCAAACCUUAAUUGACUCUGUGUAAGUAGCUGCAUGUACACAGUUUCCCAACAGUGUAGUGGGGUCAAAUUGUUCUGGGCGCAAAAUUUCAACACCUGGUGCUCCCUCAGUACAGUUGUGUGCUUCUGUUUCUGGGCUCCGUGGAACACGGCUUCUCCAUACAAACUAGGAAGUGACCUCUCCAGACAAUGGAGCGACUCUUCUUAUCUCUGUGGCUGCAAUCUGCUGGGUAACACGGAUGCAUACUCCGUCUGUUCCCCUCUGCGUGGCCCCGGGUGCUGGGAACCCAUGCUACGCCACUGUUCUUAAGGGAGAAAGGCACAGCCGAUCCAGAACAUUUUGCUGCCUGAGGCUGAACAGCAAAUAUCAUUCCCCCGCCCCACUGCAAGUCAAAGUACAAAACAGCCAAGAUUGUGCAAGUUAUUUUGCCUGGGGCAUAAAACCCCACAAGUAUCUCUCCUUGGGAGUAAAGAUACAACAAUAAGACAAAUAACUAACCAUUAGCUACCCUUCAGGUGACACUAAAAUCAGCUGCCUGAGCGGGCCAACUCACCCUGCCGAUUGAUAGGACAGGGCCUGAAAAUGUCAUUAUUAUCUAGUCUACACUUUUGUAUUCCUUCCAUUUCUGUUGUUAACUUUUCUUCUGUUCUUACUGUUACCGCAAUACAAACAAUACUGGAGACUUCCCAGCGUCUUAAGCGAAGGGGGUAUUCAUUGCUCGGUUUUGGACCUGGAGUCGAUUCAGUCUGAAGGAGUGGGAGAAGGCAAUUAUUGGAUGUCACACUAGAGAAUAUUACUGUUUCUGCUUGAGCGGCUGGAAAAUGGGAAUAUAUGCUGAGACGGUUUAAAUAAGUCAUCCAAGAUAAGUCUGACAGUCUGCGGUAGACCUGGGAUCAAUGCCCAAACUUCCUGAUUUUACCACCGUACUUUUAUGAAUAUUUGAACUCUAAUCUUCCAAGUGGAGGGUGGAAAGCACUCCUCACUCCACCCUCAACAUUCACGAGCAAAAUAGAGUCUGCCCAGGCUGUUCCGACUAAUGGGCACCUGAAACAUUUGUUCCAGGUAUCAGUUUGGGAGAUAUUGCCGGUAGCUAACCAGCAGUUGUUUGUUAAGAGUGAAUCUGGAGGUUGCUUGGCAACACACUUUCAUACACACACACACUCCUCAAAAAGGGGGGGGGAGGAUAAGGAGGCAUGGUUGAAGAGUUCAAAAUAUCUAGCUGCGUAUGAACAGUGAGAAGACAGCACAUUAUGGUGACAGAAGGAAUUGGGAAGAGGCACAGCAUCUGACCUGGCAAUGGUGAGAUGAGGAGGCUGUGCAUCUUCAUCAAAACGUUGCAAACUUCCUUAUAAAGAUUUUGGAAGCACAUGGAAUGAGUCUCACUGCACAUCCUGACUCUAAAAAAAUAAAGACCAAGUUUUAUAAUGGGGCUUUAAUGACCUGAAGGGACGCGGGUGGCGCUGUGGGUUAAACCACAGAGCCUAGGACUUGCCGAUCAGAAGGUCGGCGGUUCGAAUACCCACGACGGGGUGAGCUCCCGUUGCUCGGUCCCUGCUCCUGCCAACCUAGCAGUUUGAAAGCACCUCAAAGUGCAAGUAGAUAAAUAGGUACCACUCCGGCGGGAAGGUAAACGGCGUUUCCAUGCGCUGCUCUGGUUCACCAGAGUCAUGCUGGCCACAUGACCCAGAAGCUGUACGCCGGCUCCCUCGGCCAAUAAAGCGAUAUGAGCGCCGCAACCCCAGAGUCGGUCACGACUGGACCUAAUGGUCAGGGGUCCCUUUACCUUUAAUGACAUGAAGCAGUGAGAGACAAGUGAGGAAGGUGGAAGAUGUGCAAAUCCACGAUUCUCACCUAUAAUGGCCGUUUCUCAAGGCUGUCAUUCCUCUUUGGAGUCCUCAUGUUUACAUUCCCCUGCAAAAAGAUUUCCGUGAGGCAGCUCACUUUGGGAAACAGAUUGGCCUACACUUCAUAUUGCACCCCAUCAAAGGGGAAGGAGGGGGGCUGUUUUUGACUCGCCAUGUCUGGCUUUGGGUAUUUAGGUUAAUACCAUUAAUGUGUGUCACCAAAUGCAAGUUAUACAAAUGGAAUUUUUCUGUCAGCUCUUCUGUGCGCACUUCAGGCUGAGCGGCAGCAACCAAGGUUUAUGUGGAUUUAGCUCAAGUAAUACUCAAAUCUUUAAGGGCUGAGGCCUGUCUAGGAGAGAACAUGUGUCUAAAACACACACACAAAAAUAGUCUUAAAGUCAUAGAGCUACUAUUGAAAGAUUAUGAAGCAGAACAAUAUCUCCCCCCCCCAACAAGUACAGUUUUCAACUAGCUAGUAUUUUAUUGGUUUGGCUGAGGGAAGUGGCAGGGGGUGAGAUUUGCAACAGGGAUCAGCACCUCUGUAGAGAAUGUAACAUCUAAACCAGUUCUCUUUUACCAGAUUCCUAUUAAGCUCUCCCCGUGACCUGUUUUGAACUGGCUCCAUUCGCUACCCAGGGA
rnacentral:lncRNA from 1 species